GUACAGCGUUUAUUUAUAAUUUUUUGGGUUUGUCCAAAUGAAUCACAACAUAGCAUUUUAUAAGAUCAAAUGUGGAUUCCGUACUGUUUAAAGGAAAUAUCAUGUUACUACAAUGCCGAAUAUGUGAUGAUAUUGCACUAUGGAAAUUAUAUACUUUAAAGUCUUAUAAUGGAAAACAUUAAACAUUUAGGUCAUCAUCUUUGUCUUAUUUGACUUUAAAUCGAGUAGUUUCAGGUAAGCAUAUUCAGUUGAAUAAACAUGGGAAUUCCACGUUGUGUAUAUUUUAAAAACAUUAUUUUAAUAUCGUUUGAAAGUAACUACAAACAAAAGACAAUUUUACAACAUAUGAACUAAACUUGCUAAAAUGAUCUAUGAUUUAAUUCAUAUUUGUGACGUAAUAUUUCAGUCGUUCUUUCUCAUAACUCUGUUGGAUCAGUGUUUAAAUAUAAUUCGGUAGGUCUCUAUUAAAUACAUGUUUACAUGUUUAUUGAGUAAUUUACAGUAUUGAUUUACACAAUUGAUUAUUUAUUAACAAUUAAACACAAGGUAGAUGAAAUUCUGCAUUUGUGAAUAUGCUUCCACAAUACAUAUCUAUAUUUGUAAUACAAGUUUUAACCGUUGAAAAUAAUUAUUGGUUAUAUAUGAGAAUCGAUUAUAGCAACGAUCUUUGCCAUUCAUAUAUCCAUAAAUGUUUUUAUAGGAUCACAUUAUCAUGUGUGCACAGUUCUUAUACAUCAUCAUAAACCAAAAUUUAAAAUCGUUUUUCUUUUAAGAAUGAUAAAGACAGAACAAAAUAUGUUUUUAGUGCAUUUAAAAAUAGAAGACUUAUACAAUAAAGAUCAAUACAAUUCUUCAAAUCGACUCAAUGAAAAGAUCACAGUUCAACUCUUCUUUUGUUAAUAAGAUAAGAGUGUAUUAAUACCAGAUAAGAUAAAUGUGUAUAGGAUAUGAGUUAAUAAUACUAUCAUGGUAAAUAGUUUUAACUGUGUAUUAUUAAACCGGUAAUGUUCGUCAUACUUCGUAAACAUUUGAAAUGUAUAUAGCGUCUAUUGUCAAUCCGUCUUUGUCAUGUUUUCAAAUACACCAAAUAUAUAGAUUGUUGGAAAUGAGUCCACGUUAACAGUUUGAAGGGUAAGCAACUUACUGAAAAAUAAACAAUAAGUAUCAUGAUUUUCAUAAUCAUAAUCUUUGAGGUUGGCAUUAUAGGUCAAAUAUAUUAUUUGAAAGAAACACAUACAAGUCAGAAAACUUAAAUACCAAACAAGAUUUAUUGGGAAAAUUAUCAAAAUAUACAAAAUGUACUAUUUAACAAAAUGUACAAUAAGAGGAACUAUUAUAUAACUCUCCAGACAGGUUAGUGUUAAACGAAUGGUAGAACACGUAUUGUGAAGGAAAACCUAUAUGAUCCGGUUAUGUUUUAGUACGAAGAAACAAGAUUAUCAUCUUACUUUUUAUACAAAAUCGAAAAAACAAGAAAGGGGAAAAUAACAUGUUUAGUAAUGAUGAUAACAUCAUUUAGUGAAUUUCAGGAUCAUCAUUUAUGUUUAUUUUUGUUUUAUGUAUAAUUAAGAUCAGUGAGCACUAGAAACGUUAUAUAUACAAGUUAUUGUACAUCGGAAUCAUCGUUUUAAAAUGUUAUUUGAUGUUUCCUAGCCUUAAUCUACAAGUUAUUGUUCCUAUUCAAUCCGGUGAAUGCCUUUGUCACCGUGUAUGUAUUGACACAAAUGUGAACGUGUUUUACUGUUUCCAUUGGUCACUCAAAAUCAAGGUUUGGAAUAUUGAAAUUUCAAACAUAAGUCAGAAGCUUUAUUAUUUGUGUGUCCUCUGUAUGUAAUGCCGAAUCAAACUAAAACUAUUUUACAGAAUAGUGUUAUCGAUGUCUCCCUAUGUAUCUAUGAUUGUUCAAUUUUUAUCACUCGGUAGUUUUACAAAAUACUUUCUAAUCAUCUCAUCGUUAACUCAUGGACAUGCAUGUAUAAGAAUUUAGGAUAUCUGUCUUUUUAAAUUAUUAACUUGAAGAUAUGUUUACUAGAAAAUAGAAUAUAAAUUAUAACAAACAACCUGACAUUGACCAACGAUGCAUCAAAAAUAUACAAUAUUAUAAAACCAAAGGUUGAACUCAUUAAGUAUUGUAAUGCACAGUUUAUGGUCAAUUAGUUAACUUAGAUGUGUUUAUUGUUUUUCUUUUUAGAUGGCAUAUAUUAUAAAUGAAGAACAAACAUCAUGAACAUGUUGAUCCUACUGACUCUCCUUCAG
rnacentral:lncRNA from 1 species